UUCUUAAAUGUGAAACCAAAACUAACCGGAUCAAAUGUUUACAAUGUGACAAAAACGCGACUUUCAGGUGUGAAAACGCUCUUCGUCAACCAAACUCACCAACUGUGGAACAAACGCUCCUUCCUCAAACCAGCUGAUGAGAAUCUCUAACACCAUCAACACCGUGGACUGUCAAACACACAGAGAGAGAGAAGAGAAGAGAGGCAACAUACAGAUCAGAUUAUAUAUGUAUACAUUAGUUAAACUGGUUCAGAGGGUGAGAUAAGUUUCUGUGGUUAAAGUGAUUUACCUGGUUGAGUCUGCACACGAUGCUGAGGAAGGGAGGGAAGCCCACCUACACAGAGACACGCAUUCAUCAACCUGUCGGUCAGGUUUAAGGCUCCGUGGUCUUAAAUAAUUAAUCAUAACUUCCAACUGUUUGUGUAUUUAUCAAUAAGCUAAAGACAAAGGAGUGGAGUGUUUUUCAUUUCAACGUCUGAGUGACAAAAAGGAAAGAUCCGGGUUUACACAAGAAAUAUUAACGGUUGAAUAAAUAUUUCACUGAAGGAGCCUUUAUCCGUUUCCAUAGAAACACCUUCAUACAACCUUGGUGUAGUCCAGCGUUGGCUCCGUUUCUGCAUCUGCGUCACAGGACGAUGUGCCAAGAUAGACCUUCUCCCCUAAACAGAACCUCUUCCAGCCCUCCUCGUCGGUUAGCCUGGGCUGUGACACAGAAAAACACACACACACACGUUACAAUUAUGACUAAUGUACAGUAUACCCAUAUCAAGUGAUCAGUGAGUGAAUCCCUAGACGCCCUUGAGGUGACACACGUGAUACAAUGUGAUGCUAAUACAUUUAAGAUGUUUUCAAAUUAUGGAGUGAAUUAUGAAACUCUGCCAUCUCCUCACCACCAUCACGUUGUCAUCCAGAGUCUGGUUGCUCCAGUGUCUUCUGUUCUUUGUGAUGCUCUGAAAGCAAAGUGCAGAACAGAUUGUAAACCUACAUCGGGACACAGUUGUCCUAAAAGUUUCAUCUGGAUUUAAAUGAUUUGGCAAUCCUUUGUUUUGCCAUUCAGGAACACGUAAUCCAUUUUAUUCUGUUUCGGUUUUUCAAAGCAACAUUGGAUUGGAUCACCCUGGUCCAGAUAAAAACUAAUUCAAGAUGACCAAAUCUGGAUUACCAGCGCUCCUCUGCCAGACGAAUCUGUGUCUCUGCUCUUUCUGUUUGUCAUUCAAGAAGUUCAGCAUGAGCGACAUGUAAUAAGGGAUGCACUUGUGUGAUUGUUAUUCAUAUAAGGUGAUAAAUGAAAGUUAAAACAAUAAUUUUUGUUUUGAUAUUUCACAGCUAUUGAGGAUCAUUUUAGGGGGACAACAUCCUUUUGUCUAACCUUACUGCACCGAAAAGCCUAAUUUCUACUUAAUCUACUUUAUCACUAUAAUGGUUUGGGAAAAAAAAUCUGGUGCAAAAUAAAAAUCAAUGUAUUUAUACUACAUGAUAUAAAUGUUAUUUUAUUUGACUUAUUUUAAAAGUUCUAGGACAUUUUGUUCCUGAAAUCCAGUCGUAAAAUAGUCUCUGUUGCGAUCAGAUUAAUCCAGAUUUUUUUUUCUUUUUUGAGGGGGGAUCAAAGUUUUACCAGUCCCACCCAAAAAUAUGAACAAUGAUUGAAACAUCCAGAUUAUAACCAAGAUUGGACGUGAUGUAAUCCGAUUUCAGAAUCUGUUUUUGUUUUGAAUAACCCAUUUUCAAGACUGGAGCCGAUCCAUUAUCCAAACUCCGAUCAGAUUACUCCUGAACAACUGGGCCCAGACUGAGUUUGACCGUCCACUUUAUACAGUGCAACUCAGCCAUUGUGAUUCCUGCAUAUCUCAUAUCAAACAAAUUUAUUUUACUACCCAUGUCUUGGAUUGCACUUCUCCAAUUUAUUUGUCAAACACAAAUUUACCAACUGCAGUUGAUCCGUGUACAGAAAAAGUAAUUGAUUAAAUGAGUAAUUUGAAACGUGGUGCCUGCAUCAUAUUCAAAAUUGAAUAAUUUCAGGUUUAUGACAGUUUAAUUCAUUUGUUUUGCUUUACCUGUCUGACAGCUGAGAAGUUACUGACUUGCUGCUGCUGCCAGCUGAGACUGGGGCAGAAGCCCAGAGGAGCAGCGUGGCAACCCGCCACCUGAAACAGAGAAGGGACUGUUCUCAGACAUCUUCUUGGGGUCGAUCUGAGCAACUACCACCUCCGGACACAACGAAGCCUCCAACCUGGUGAAAUGCUGUCACUCCGAUCAAGCUCUUAAUGAGACUCCUACAUCGUCAGCCAAACUGCUCCCGUUCUCUCCGUUUGUUGACGGAUGCCUCCUUCCAACUGCGAGUGAGUUUCAGCUCUUUCCACGGUUAUUUCAUCCUGGAUCAUGACUGGUGGGACGGGGCCACCUCUGAACCGUCCGACGCGUUCUCCUCGUCCGCUCUUCGUCUCUGCCUUUAGAUCAUGGUAUGUUUUGGGGACACGGCCUUGUUCCGGUCUCGUCAGCUUCAGGAAGCGACUCGUGGACUGCGACUGGACACUUGCCGUACCUUUGAUCUAGAAGGUCAUGUCAAGUCAAUGAGGGGAGGAAACAAGAAUCCAGCUCCUUUGUUUUACACUCAACACUUCGGUUUCAACAGUCCCACAACUCCUAUGAGCACGUCUGCACAAUUUUGAGUAUAAUAGUAACGUCCAACGACGCAGCACAAGUGACACGCUACACUAAUGCUCCACUGUCCAGCCAGGACGCAGAGGAUCGUCCGGGGGGUACG